UACGUAGGGGGGCGAGCGUUGUCCGGAUUUAUUGGGCGUAAAGAGCGUGUAGGCGGCCAGGUAGGUCUGCUGUGAAAACUCGAGGCUCAACCUCGAGACGUCGGCGGAAACCAUCUGGCUAGAGUCCGGAAGAGGAGAGUGGAAUUCCUGGUGUAGCGGUGAAAUGCGCAGAUAUCAGGAAGAACACCCGUGGCGAAGGCGGCUCUCUGGGACGGUACUGACGCUGAGGAGCGAAAGCCAGGGGAGCAAACGGG
rnacentral:rRNA from 1 species